UCAGAUGUUGGGGUGGAUGCAGCACGAAGCACUUGGGCUGUGCUGGCAUCCUAUUCUGGGAGCAGGGUGGGCUGCCAGGCGCUGCUCAGGGGUGAAUUCCACCCACGGGGCAGGCGUUUCCAAGAGCACCAUGACGUGGGCUCGGCUUACAGCUCGGCUUUCAAGCCACCCGCACAAAAUGUAGAGGCAGCGGUGUCAGGAACCCUCCCUGACAGCUCCUUUCAGGAGGGGAUGCUGUGAGGAGCUGUCACGCUCUGAGUCAGCUGUUCUUCCAGGCCUGGCAUUCCAGGCAGGAAGAGCCUGCUUGAAGAACCAUCCCAACCACGCCGCCUGCCAAAACCACACUGGGAAUCCCAUGGGAACCAGCCCUCUCCCGGGCCAGCUGGUACUUCCUGCUCCCGAGGCCUGAUCCUGCUGGAUGCUGAGCAUUCUUUGUUCCAUUUUUAAAUUAAUGAGGCUCCAGCAAUGCACGGUCCCAGAGCCCGGGGAAGAAACAGCCCCUCGGUGUUUUCAGCACUUUGGCCCAGCUGGAGAGGAGAGGGAAAUGUCAGGCUUGAAGAGAUGCCUGGAGAACAGAUCCAUAACCUGGAGAUUUUAGCCAGGUUCUCCGAGCUGGCCAUGCCCCCACACACAGCUCUCCUCCCCACAGGCUGUGACUCCCAAAGCUGGCAGCCCCAUCUCUGCAGAGAAGGAUGAGGAUCACAGCGUGGGACUCGCUCCCAUCCUGUCCCAACAGUGUCCCCUUGAGGCUGGUGCUGAGGCAGCCCGGGAAGAGCUCUCGUGGAGGUGCAGGGGAACCCCAGAAGCUGCUCCAAACAACAAAUCCAUCCCAGCAGCUGCGGAUCAGCCUGAGUGAAGGAUGCUGGAGGAGCCCACCCCACAGCGGGUGUGGGACCUCCACACUAGGGAGAACCACUCAGGAAUACCUUGGAUGUCUAAGUUGCUGCAGAGAGCUAAUUCCUCCAGGUGACUCCAGGCAGCGAUAAGUGGGCUCCUGCACAGCGAGGGGUUUGAAGUGCCAGAGCUGAAAGCGCUCCCAGCUCCGGCACGCCAGGCCUCCAGCAGGGGACACAGCCUCAGAUGUCACAGCACGGGGGCAGCAGGGGCCUCUGGAGCUGUCAUUUCCAACCUGCAUUUCCAACUGCAGGGCCAGGCACGGGCUUGAGAUGCCCUGUGCCCCCAGGGAAAAGGCUGAAGGAUAUUGGGGGAAAAGAUAUUUAGAAGAUAUUGGGGAAUAAAAAUCAGUGCCCUGAAGGGAUAAAUGUUGGG
rnacentral:lncRNA from 1 species